GCGAUAAUUAAGAAAGCUAAAAUAUAGGAAGCAGAAAUUUGUAAAACAAAAAUGAAUUGCUGUAUUUGCAAGAAAUCAUACAACCCACUUGUGCAACGAUCGUUUCAUAGUUUACCAAAAAAUGAAGAAAGAAGAAAGAAAUGGAUAGAUAUAAUUGAUUAUACUGUCAGUAAAACUGCAAGGGUUUGCAGCGAUCAUUUCACAGAUUAAAAGUGAUUAUAAUACUCAUAAUAUCAAGUCAAAAUCAAGGAGAUUAAAGAAUACAGCAAAUCCCUCUCAUAGACAACACAAAAGUGAAACCGUAGACGAAAUAAUAGAAAUUGAACAAU